GAAUCUUGGACAAUGGGGGGAACCCUGAUCCAGCCAUUCCGCGUGUGCGAUGAAGGCCUUCGGGUUGUAAAGCACUUUUGGCAGGGAAGAAAUUGCGCGGGCUAAUACCCUGCGUGGAUGACGGUACCUGCAGAAUAAGCACCGGCUACCUACGCGCCAGCAGCCGCGGUAAUACGUAGGGUGCAAGCGUUAAACGGAAUUACUGGGCGUAAAGCGUGCGCAGGCGGUUCGGCAAGAAGGAUGUGAAAUCCCAGGGCUUAACCUUGGAACUGCAUUCUUAACUGCCGGGCUAGAGUAUGUCAGAGGGGGGUAGAAUUCCGCGUGUAGCAGUGAAAUGCGUAGAGAUGCGGAGGAAUACCGAUGGCGAAGGCAGCCCCCUGGGAUAAUACUGACGCUCAUGCACGAAAGCGUGGGGAGCAAAC
rnacentral:rRNA from 1 species